CCUACGGGUGGCAGCAGUGAGGAAUAUUGGUCAAUGGGCGCGAGCCUAAACCAGCCAAGUCGCGUGAGGGAAGAAGGUCCUAUGGAUUGUAAACCUCUUUUGUCGGGGAGAAAAAGACGCCACGCGUGGCGUUCCGAGAGUACCGGAAGAAAAAGCAUCGGCUAACUCAGUGCCAGCAGCCGCGGUAAUACGGAGGAUGCGAGCGUUAUCCGGAUUUAAUGGGGUUAAAGGGUGCGCAGGCGGAUGAUCAAGUCAGCGGUAAAAUUGAGUGGCUCAACCUCUUCGAGCCGUUGAAACUUGUUUUCUUGAGUGCGUGAGACGUAUGCGGCCUGCGUGGUGUAGCGG
rnacentral:rRNA from 1 species